rnacentral:rRNA from 1 species
UGAGGAAUAUUGCGCAAUGGGCGAAAGCCUGACGCAGCGACGCCGCGUGGAGGAUGAAGGUUUUCGGAUUGUAAACUCCUGUUAAGUGGGAAGAAACGACAAAUAUAAUACAUUUUGUAACUGACGGUACCAUUAAAGAAAGCACCGGCUAACUUCGUGCCAGCAGCCGCGGUAAUACGAGGGGUGCAAGCGUUAUUCGGAAUUAUUGGGCGUAAAGGGUGCGUAGGCGGCGUAUUAAGUCAACUGUUAAAACCUCCAGCCUAACUGGAGAUCAGCAGUAGAUACUGGUAUGCUAGAGGAUGGAAGAGAGAAGUGGAAUUCUUGGAGUAGCGGUGGAAUGCGUAGAUCUCAAGAGGAACACCAAUGGCGAAGGCAGCUUCUUGGUCCAUAUCUGACGCUGAUGCACGAAAGCGUGGGGAGCGAACAGGAUUAGAUACCCUGGUAGUCCACGCCGUAAACGAUGAUCACUAGAUGUUAAUUCUGCUUGCAGAAUUAGUGUCGUAGCUAACGCGAUAAGUGAUCCGCCUGGGGACUACGGUCGCAAGAUU